AUGAUGGACUAUAGGACAGGACUGCUGCUUUUAACUAUCUGCUGGGCAGGUGUUGAUGGUCAGACUCUGACAGAAUCUGAACCAGCGAUUAAAAGGCCUGGAGAAUCUCACAGAUUGACCUGUACAGCCUCUGGAUUCACAUUCAGCAACCACUGGAUGGGCUGGGUCAGACAGGCUCCUGGAAAAGGACUGGAGUGGAUUGCUUUCAUUGAUAGUGGUAGUGGUAGCACCAAAUACUACUCUCAGUCAGUUCAAGGCCGGUUUACCAUCUCCAGAGACAACAGCAAAGAGCAGCUGUAUCUGCAGAUGAACAGUCUGAAGACUGAAGAUUCUGCUGUUUAUUAUUGUGCUCGAGACUCACAGUGACACAGGAAGCACCAACGCUGUACAAGAACUUAUACAUGUUCAACUUCUACAUUUUCCAUUCACAUAAAUUGAUGUUCAACAUCAUACCCACUCAGAGAAACAACAUCUGAAGAAAAAUGCUUCAUCGGUUUGAGUGCAGCUCUGGUGUUCUCUAAUAUGUAGUUAAGGGAGAUGUAAAAUUUAAUGUCCUUUUGACCUGACUGUGACUGACAUAAAUUAAGUAAUUAAAUAAAAAUAAAAUUUUUACACACACAAUAAAAAAAUUCAACCCACCAUCACUUGUCAGGGGUUAGGGUUAACCCUAACCCCAGCCGAGGAGAAGCCCUCAGAAGAAUAAUUAUUUCAACAUUAGUUUACUGUUAAAGAGAGAAACUUCUUUAGAUUUUAUAAGU